rnacentral:rRNA from 1 species
CUUGGAGCCCAACCUUCUCACUUUCUAACCCUGUGCAUCUGUAUCUAACGGUGAGCUGCCUUCGGGUGGCGAGCCUUCACUUUAAAACACCAAGUCUAUGAAUGUAUAUAAUCAUAACUAUAUAAAAACUUUCAACAACGGAUCUCUUGGCUCUCGCAUCGAUGAAGAACGCAGCGAAAUGCGAUACGUAAUGUGAAUUGCAGAAUUCAGUGAAUCAUCGAAUCUUUGAACGCAUCUUGCACUCUCUGGUAUUCCGGAGAGUAUGUCUGUUGGAGUGUCAUGAAUUCUUCAACCCCACCGUUUCUUGCAAACGCGUGGGUGCUUGGAUUCUGAGCGCUGCUGGCUUCGGCCUAGCUCGUUCGUAAUGCAUUAGCAUCCCGAUGACAAGUUUGGAUUGACUUGGCGUAAUAGACUAUUCGCUGAGGAGUAAGUGGCCUUCGGGUUACUGAGCCAACUCGUUUCAGGAAGCUUCUAAUCCCUAAAGUCUACCUUUUAGAUUAGAUCUCCAAUCAGGCAGG